AUUGAACGCUGGCGGCAGGCCUAACACAUGCAAGUCGAGCGGAGCGGCUGACGGGUGAGUAAUGCCUAGGAAUCUGCCUGGUAGUGGUGGAUAACGUCCGGAAACGGGCGCUAAUACCGCAUACUAUCAGAUGAGCCUAGGUCGUAUUAGCUAGUUGGUGGUGUAAAGGCCUACUAGGGCGACUAUCCGUAAUUGGUCUGAGAGGAUGAUCAGUCAAACUGGAACUGAGACACGUGCCAGAAUCCUACGAGAGGCAGCAGUGUGGAAAAUUGGACAAUGGGCGAAAGCCUGAUGCAGCCAUGCCGCGUGGGUGAAGAAGGUAUUCGGAUUGUAAAGCACUUUGAGUUGGGAGACGUUAAAAACAGUAUAAGCACCGGCUAACUUCGUGCCAGCAGCCGCGGUAAUUC
rnacentral:rRNA from 1 species